rnacentral:rRNA from 1 species
AGAGUUUGAUCCUGGCUCAGAACGUACGCUGGCGGCACGCCUAACACAUGCAAGUCGAACGAAGUAGCAAUACUUAGUGGCAGACGGGUGAGUAACGUGUGGGUAUCUGCCCUUUGGCCUGGAAUAACACGAGGAAACUUGUGCUAAUACUGGAUAAGUCUUUACGGAGAAAGCUUUAUGCACCAUUGGAUGAGCCUGCACUUGAUUAGUUUGUUGGUGGGGUAAUGGCCUACCAAGACUUUGAUCAAUAGCUGAUUUGAGAGGAUGAUCAGCCACAUUGGGACUGAGACACGGCCCAAACUCCUACGGGAGGCAGCAGUGGGGAAUCUUGCACAAUGGAGGGAACUCUGAUGCAGCGAUGCCGCGUGAGUGAAGAAGGCCUUUGGGUUGUAAAGCUCUUUCGUCGGGGAAGAAAAUGACUGUACCCGAAUAAGAAGGUCCGGCUAACUUCGUGCCAGCAGCCGCGGUAAUACGUAGGGACCUAGCGUAGUUCGGAAUUACUGGGCUUAAAGAGUUCGUAGGUGGUUGAAAAAGUUGGUGGUGAAAUCCCAGAGCUUAACUCUGGAACUGCCAUCAAAACUUUUCAGCUAGAGUUUGAUAGAGGAAAGCAGAAUUUCUAGUGUAGAGGUGAAAUUCGUAGAUAUUAGAAAGAAUACCAAUUGCGAAGGCAGCUUUCUGGAUCAUUACUGACACUGAGGAACGAAAGCAUGGGUAGCGAAGAGGAUUAGAUACCCUCGUAGUCCAUGCCGUAAACGAUGUGUGUUAGACGUUGGAAAUUUAUUUUCAGUGUCGCAGCGAAAGCGAUAAACACACCGCCUGGGGAGUACGACCGCAAGGUUAAAACUCAAAUGAAUUGACGGGGACCCGCACAAGUAGUGGAGCAUGUGGUUUAAUUCGAAGAUACGCGCAGAACCUUACCAACACUUGUCAUGUUCGUCGCGACUUUAAGAGAUUAAAGUUUUCGGUUCGGCCGGACGAAACACAGGUGCUGCAUGGCUGUCGUCAGCUCGUGUCGUGAGAUGUUGGGUUAAGUCCCGCAACGAGCGCAACCCUCACUUUUAGUUGCCAUCAUUAAGUUGGGCACUCUGAAAGAACUGCCAGUGAUAAGCUGGAGGAAGGUGGGGAUGACGUCAAGUCCUCAUGGCCCUUACGUGUUGGGCUACACACGUGCUACAAUGGUAUCUACAACAGGAAGCAAAACAGCGAUGUUAAGCAAAUCCUUAAAAGAUACCUCAGUUCGGAUUGCACUCUGCAACUCGAGUGCAUGAAGCUGGAAUUACUAGUAAUCGUGGAUCAGCGUGCCACGGUGAAUGCGUUCCCGGGUCUUGUACACACCGCCCGUCACACCAUGGGAGUUGGUUCUACCUUAAGGCAAGGCAUAAAACCCUUGACCACGGUAUAGUCAGCGACUGGGGUGAAGUCGUAACAAGGUAACC